rnacentral:lncRNA from 1 species
GGUGAGGGCUUCCUCAACGUCCCACCACCUCCGCCGCCACAGCCCUCUUCUUCUAGUUACAACUCGUUUCUCUACCCAUUUUUGAACAACUCUUCUAUGAUCAGUACUCCUGAUCAUUAUAAUAACGGUAUGGCCACCACCAGCAGCUACGCGACAACAGUAACUGUUAGUCCCGGCGGAAACGGCGGCGGCGAGAAAGACGGCAGCCCAUCGAGCAGUACUCCAAACUCUUCCAUCUCCUCCUCCUCCAACGACGCCGCC